rnacentral:lncRNA from 1 species
GUCUGAAGCAGAAAGUUCAAAGGUGCCUUCAGUGACUCAGAUGUGAUUUUUUUACACCAGAAGAAAGAGAACGUAUUCAAGUAGCAAUAGACUUUGAUCUCCCUCUGCAAACAGAGGAGACAUGA